UACGGGGGGGGCAAGCGUUGUUCGGAAUUACUGGGCGUAAAGGGCUCGUAGGUGGCCAACUAAGUCAGACGUGAAAUCCCUCAGCUUAACUGGGGAACUGCGUCUGAUACUGGAUGGCUUGAGUUUGGGUGAGGGAUGCGGAAUUCCAGGUGUAGCGGUGAAAUGCGUAGAUAUCUGGAGGAACACCGGUGGCGAAGGCGGCAUCCUGGACCAACACUGACACUGAGGAGCGAAAGCCAGGGGAGCAAACGGG
rnacentral:rRNA from 1 species